UACAGAGGGUGCGAGCGUUAAUCGGAGUUACUGGGCGUAAAGGGCGCGUAGGCGGUGAAAUAAGAUUGAUGUGAAAUCCCUGGGCUUAACCUAGGAACUGCAUCGAUGACUAUUUUACUGGAGUACUGUAGAGGGUAGUGGAAUUUCCGGUGUAGCGGUGAAAUGCGUAGAGAUCGGAAGGAACACCAGUGGCGAAGGCGGCUACCUGGACAGAUACUGACGCUGAGGCGCGAAAGCGUGGGGAGCAAACAGG
rnacentral:rRNA from 1 species